rnacentral:rRNA from 1 species
UACGGAGGGAGCUAGCGUUGUUCGGAAUUACUGGGCGUAAAGCGCGCGUAGGCGGCUUUGUAAGUUAGAGGUGAAAGCCCGGGGCUCAACCCCGGAACUGCCUUUAAAACUGCAUCGCUUGAAUCCAGGAGAGGUGAGUGGAAUUCCGAGUGUAGAGGUGAAAUUCGUAGAUAUUCGGAAGAACACCAGUGGCGAAGGCGGCUCACUGGACUGGA